ensembl:lncRNA
AAAUCUCCCCGGGGACCCUGGCCGAGUUCUGGGGAGUUGUGUGUUCAAGGCUGGGCCUUCUGAGCGGGUCUAGGUGCCAGCAGCAGAGAGAAAGAAGGGGAUGGGCCCGGGCGGGCUCCAGAGCCGCUGUGGCCGCCCAGUGGCACACCCCAUUUCACGCUCCCUGGGCGGUGGCAGGGGCCCCACGGCUAUCAGCUUUCAGUGGGGAGGGGCUGACCCACCCAUGAUUCCCCAUUUCCUUGAGGCACCGUGGCCCGAAGAGGCUGUGACAGGGGCAGCCGGAACCCCAGGAGGCCCUAUGCUCCUGGCUAGUGGCCAGGCUUGGGCAACCCUUGAAGGAAGGGGGUGCUGGAGCCUUGGAGGAGUCAUUCCAGGCCCGACCCCCUUAUUGCCAAGCUGGCCGCGCCCCUGGGCCUCCCUUUCCUGCCUGUGGCCACUCCGGUGCCUCCUCCCCUUCCGUGAAGCCCAGAGGGCGGGGGGAUCAGAAAAGACCUAGCCCAGAGGCUGAGCUCCUGUCUGGGUCAUCGCGUCUGUCCGCCCAGCAGCUGUCUCUGCCCUGCUCUCGCGCCCCCCUGGGCGGCUGCCAUGGGCCGGAAGAGGAGGCUCAUCACCGACUCCUUCCCCAAAGUGAAGAGGAGGAAGGGCGGGCCGGGGCCUGGCAAGGAGGACCCGGAGCCCGAGCCAGGGCUGCGAGGGGAGGAGUCGGGGGAGGAGCCGCUCGCACCCCUGGAGGACAAAACUCAUUUAGAGCUACUGAGGCAGUUUGACCUGGACAGGCACUUCGGCCCCUGCACAGGGAUCACUCGGCUUCAGCGCUGGGAGCGGGCAGAGCAGCUGGGCCUGGGCCCUCCCCAUGAGGUGCUCAAGGUGCUGUGGGCCCACCCUGGAGACCCCCAGUACCAGUGCAGCCUCUGGCACCUGUACCCCAUCUAAAGGAGGCAAUCCCGAAGUCCCGCCCGGUGCCCCCUGCCGCCUUCCCAGGGGCCUUCACGAUGGACAGGGGAGCCCACUGCUGUUUCUUCAGACAACCCCCUACUAGAGGGGUCUUGGGGGCAGAGGUUGGAGCGGAAGCUUCCCUAGGGAAAGGAAUAGCUCGAACUCCAGCUGGGGGGAGGGGACUCCUCUGACUUGCCAGUAGCCAUAGUGACCCCUGCGAGCAAGCUCAGCCAACCAGCGGCAGCAGAAUCUUUUUAGAAAGCCAGCAGGGGCUUCCCGGCCCUUGGGCGUGACAUCUGGCCCCUCCAUCCCUGAGCUGGGUCCCUGACAAAGGGCCGGACAGAGCCCAGGAGCUCAGCUGGGCCAAGGGGGUCCCGGCAGGGAAGCAGGUGGGGGCUGAGCUUGCCAGGUGGGCAGGGCUUCGAUGGGACAAACGAAUAAAAGAUAACCGGCAGCGACUCUUGAUGUGCCCGCCCUCCUCCUUCCGCCCUUUCUGGGACAAGGGUCCGAGCCACAGCCCACGGCUUGCCCACCUUCAGAAGGGAAGAGACUCUGGCUCCCAAGCCAACUUGGCUUUGGACGCCCCCUAGUGACUCCUGGUUCUCCACUGAGGCCACGGAAGCCUGGCUGGGUUCCACAGGUGGCCCAGGGGCCCUUUCUGGUUCACCAGAAAUCACCUGGUGGGGGGCGUGGUCCCGGGACUCUAAAAGGUCAGGUCUAGCCAGGGGUGUUGGGCCCGUGCCGUCUGCUGCUGGCUGUGCAACCCCCAGAGCUCCGGACGGCAGGCUCUGCACUAAGGCCAGCAGUGGGCGAGCCCCUGGGAGCAGGGGACGCCUGGGGCACCUGACUCCCUGGGGAGGGAUGAACUAGCUCAGGGGCAGAAGUUAAAGUUGCCAUGCUUUCGGCAGUGCAUCUAACUGGGGAGUAUCCCAUGUGUUUUAAGACUGGGCCAGAUGGGGGGAGACCAGUCCCCAAAGAAAGAAAAAGCUGGACCGCUGCUACCCUAGACUUUUAGGGCUGGUAUCCGGGCCCUCUCUCCCCGGACAAGCCCUCUCUAACCCCCUUCCACUUUCCUGGCCUGAUCCAGGCUCCGGGGAACACAGAUUUCCAGGGACAGAAGCUCAGGGUUGGGAAGCCCCAAAUCCUGGCGAUUUCCUGCCUUUGGAGGGGGAUUGGGGCAGGGGGGAAAGCAGGGAAGGGUUUGCGUUGUUUGUGGGGCAUUUCAGGGACAGCUGGGUGCUCAAUGGCCACCUUUACACAAACCUUCCUUUUGGGACCCAGGAAGGGAGAUGCCGCCUGCCUGCAGAAAAAGAACUGAUAAACAGAAGCCUGUAGAGUAUGGUUUUAACCCCCCCCCCCACACACACACACACACACACACAUACCCACAGCUUUGUGUCUGAUGGGAGUCACGUCUAGGGUGGGAGGAGGGAAAAUAUGAAAACUACCCAGCAGGGAAAAUGUGACUAUGUAGAAGGAAGUGGAGAAAGCAGAGUAACCAAUGGCUGCAAGUAUUGACUAAAGAGUUUGUUUUUUGAGUAAAUAGUGUGAAACAUAAACUCAUGUUUUUUACAAUAAAUCUUUUUUACGAUAUAGUGGGUUUUUUAAAGUAAAUAGUGUGAAAUAUAAACUCCUGGUUUUACAAUAAAUCCUUUUUUUUUAGAGUGGGUUGUGUACCUGGAAAUGUUCUCCUUUUUUUUGGUCUUUUUUUUUUAUUUACAAGUUAUAUGUAUGGGUAAUUUUACAGCAUUGACAAUUGUCAAACCUUUUCUUCCAAUUUUUCCCAUCCUUCCCCCACCCCUUCCCCCAGAUGGCAGGUUGACUAAUACUGUUAAAUGUGUUAAAGUAUAAAUUAAAUACAAUAUAAGUAUACGUGUCCUAACAGUUAUUUUUUUUUUUUGUCUUUAUGUGUCUAAAUUCAAAAUGAAUACAAAAAAAUUUUAAGAGAAAAAAAUAAAUCUUUCUUUGGAUCUGUCAGCCUGGUCUUGGUUUGUGUUCAUAUAUCAAACUCUCCUGCAAAUUAAGAAUCUGCCCCUGAGUCUGACCAGGAGAGUCAGUGUCACAGCCACGGCCAUGAUUU